rnacentral:rRNA from 1 species
AUUGAACGCUGGCGGUAUGCUUAACACAUGCAAGUCGAACGGUAACAGGCCUUCGGGCGCUGACGAGUGGCGGACGGUGAGUAACGCGUAGGAAUCUGCCUCAUAGUGGGGGACAACGUGGGGAAACUCACGCUAAUACCGCAUACGCCCUACGGGGAAAGCGGGGAGUCUUCGGACCUCGCGCUAUGAGAUGAGCCUGCGUUAGAUUAGCUAGUUGGUAGGGUAAAGGCCUACCAAGGCGACGAUCUAUAGCUGGUCUGAGAGGACGAUCAGCCACACUGGGACUGAGACACGGCCCAGACUCCUACGGGAGGCAGCAGUGGGGAAUAUUGGACAAUGGGCGCAAGCCUGAUCCAGCAAUACCGCGUGUGUGAAGAAGGCCUUAGGGUUGUAAAGCACUUUCAAUUGGGAGGAAAACCUGCCGGGUCAAUACCCGGUAGCUUGACAUUACCUUUAGAAGAAGCACCGGCUAACUCCGUGCCAGCAGCCGCGGUAA